rnacentral:ncRNA from 2 species
AUUCCUUCCGGUCGACACGGUCGGACGUCCUAACUUAUGGUGGACCGCGGUGCGGGGAAGCCGGUGGGAGUCCGGCGCGGUCCCGCCACUGCGACCGGCGAGCACGAUCCGGCGCGGCCGACGAGGUCCGUCGGCACGGCCCGGGAGCCACGCGGAUCCGGGAAGUCAGGACACCGGCCGCGGAUGUCCGUGUAGU